GAUGAACGCUGGCGGCGUGCUUAACACAUGCAAGUCGAACGAAGAGGGUUAGAAUGAGAGCUUCGGCAGGAUUUCUUUACAUCUUAGUGGCGGACGGGUGAGUAACGUGUGGGCAACCUGCCCUGUACUGGGGAAUAAUCAUUGGAAACGAUGACUAAUACCGCAUAAGCCCACAGCACCGCAUGGUGCAGCGGGAAAAGGAGCAAUUCGCUUCAGGAUGGCCUCGCGUCCAAUUAGGUAGAUGGUGAGGUAACGGCCCACCAUGCCGACGAUUGGUAGCCGGACUGAGAGGUUGAACGGCCACAUUGGGACUGAGACACGGCCCAG
rnacentral:rRNA from 1 species